AGUAGUUUGAUCCGUGGCUCAGACAACGCUGGCGGCGUGCUUAACACAUGCAAGUCGAACGGGGAUACUUGCGGAAAGCCUUCGGGCCGGAAGCGGGUAUUCGAGUGGCGGACGGGUGAGUAACGCGUGAACAAUCUGUCCCAGACAGGGGGAUAACACUUGGAAACAGGUGCUAAUACCGCAUAAGACCACAGUAUCGCAUGGUACAGAGGUAAAAGGAGCAAUCCGGUUUGGGGUGAGUUCGCGUCCGAUUAGAUAGUUGGUGAGGUAACGGCCCACCAAGUCUGCGAUCGGUAGCCGAUCUGAGAGGAUGACCGGCCACAUUGGAACUGAGAGACGGUCCAAACUCC
rnacentral:rRNA from 1 species